UCAACUGUGCUUGCACUUUUCUAUUUGGCGCUUGCCGACGUUGUGGGAAAGUUGUCUCCCUCCCCGCAUCCCUCUCCCUCUCGCCGUCCCUCCCCGUCCAUCUCCUCCUCUCCUCCUCUCUCCUCCUCUCCUCCUCUCCUCCUCUCCCGUUUAUCGUGUGCUCGGGAUGAUGUGCUCGUGCUUCGCGCAGAGCAGCUGUACGUGGCGCGCCUUGUGCAGGGGCCGCCGGGUGUUAGCGGCAAUUUUUAAAGUGAUGCCCCCCGCCAAUUAACACGGCUGGGAUAUUUGAGGGGAACGUAUGUCACACGAGGACAGACACGGACCCAGCCGACCGCCGCCGCUGUCCUCCUGCUUUGGGACGCGUUCUGGUCCAUCGCAGCGAUUCGACUCACCUCCGGGAAUGAUGGAGACGGUGGGCUGUGGAGAACCGCAGGCAGCAGGCAGCAGAGGUCAACACGAGAUCUCUGGGAUUUUGCUCUCAACUGGACUCACAUGAGGUUGGAGGAAGACCUCAGAGAUUGUGACCCAGAAACAAAUGGCAUAACGGCAGGAGUCUGCAGGCUAAAGACAUCAAGGAUAUCCAGCUGAUAUCAGAGGUCAAAGAGCCUCCCUGAUCAACUAGAGAGGAGUCCAAAUUUCGCCAAGAGAGGAGCUUGAGAAGAAGUCCACACAUAAAUAUCACCGGAGCUUCGUCGUUCAUUUUACAGCACUUGGACCUGUGCUCCUCUACUCUUCUUCAUUUGUCACCUUGGACAAAUAUGCAUAUAUAUUUAUAUAACAAAUACUCUCCAACUCAAACCUUUUUGUUUGGUGUAAUUGAUGGGGUCUAACAAGUAUAUCUUUUAACAGCUAAAUAAAAGCUUUUUUUCUUUCA